AACCUGACUGUGGUAAUGUAGCAUAAUCACUCGCCAUUUAAUUGAUGGAUAGUAUGAAUGGUCAAACGAAUUUUUCACUGUCUUAAAAAGAGAAAUCAUGAAAUUUAAAUAAUAGUAAAGAUGCUAUUUAAAAUUGUUAGACGAAAAGACCCUAUAGAGCUUAACUAUAAACUUUUUAAAAUAAAAUAAAAGAAAGUUUGGUAGUUUAGUUGGGGCGACUAUCUUCUAAAAAUAACGAAGAUAAGCAAAGUUAAUAUAAAACUUACUGUAUAAUUAAUGAAUUUAACAGUUAUUAAAAUAGGCUAUAAUGACCCGUUAUUAAAAAGUAAUAUUUAUAACGAUUAAUAAAUAAAAGCUACCUUAGGGAUAACAGGAUAAUUUUGUUCUAGAGAUCCUAUCGAAAACAAAGUUUGUCACCUCUAUGUUGAAUUAAGAUAUCCAGAUAAUGCAGAAGUUAUCAACGGUAGGUCUGUUCGACCUUUAAAAUCUUACAUGAUUUGAGUUCAUUCCGUCGCAAGACAGGAAGGU
rnacentral:rRNA from 1 species